rfam:Salmo salar isolate Sally breed double haploid chromosome ssa11, whole genome shotgun sequence.
UCCCGUGUGGCUCAGUUGGUAGAGCAUGGUGUUUGCAACGCCAGGGUUAUGGGUUCGAUUCCCACGGGGGAC